rnacentral:rRNA from 1 species
CCUACGGGGGGCAGCAGUGGGGAAUAUUGCACAAUGGGGGAAACCCUGAUGCAGCAACGCCGCGUGAGCGAUGAAGGCCUUCGGGUCGUAAACUUCUAUCAGCAGGGAAGAAGGAAGUGACAGUACCUGACUAAGAAGCCCCGGCUAACUACGUGCCAGCAGCCGCGGUAAUACGUAGGGGGCAAGCGUUAUCCGGAAUCACUGGGUGUAAAGGGUGCGUAGGCGGCCGAUUAAGCCAGGGGUGAAAGGCUACGGCUCAACCGUAGUAAGCCCUUGGAACUGAUUGGCUUGAGUGCAGGAGAGGAGAGUGGAAUUCCUAGUGUAGCGGUGAAAUGCGUAGAUAUUAGGAGGAACACCAGUGGCGAAGGCGACUCUCUGGACUGUAACUGACGCUGAGGCACGAAAGCGUGGGGAGCAAACAGGAUUAGAUACCCGUGUAGUC